rnacentral:rRNA from 1 species
AUGGCUCCCAGGAAGUUCUUCGUCGGCGGCAACUGGAAAUGCAACGGGACCGGAGACGACGUGAAGAAGAUCGUCACCGUCCUCAACGAGGCCGAGGUGCCCUCCGAGGACGCCGUCGAGGUGGUGGUGAGCCCGCCGUUCGUGUUCCUGCAGCAGGCCACGGGGCUGCUGCGACCCGACUUCGCCGUCGCCGCGCAGAACUGCUGGGUGCGCAAGGGCGGCGCCUUCACCGGCGAGAUCAGUGCUGAGAUGCUGGUGAACCUGCAGGUGCCUUGGGUCAUUUUGGGGCACUCUGAGAGGAGAGCACUGUUGAAUGAAUCAAGUGAUUUUGUUGCUGAUAAAGUGGCUUACGCACUCGCCCAAGGACUCAAGGUAAUUGCUUGCAUUGGUGAAACCCUUGAACAGAGAGAAGCAGGGACGACAAUGGAAGUCGUUGCUGCUCAGACUAAAGCUAUUGCAGAGAAAAUAUCAGACUGGACAAACGUUGUGCUAACAUAUGAACCAGUUUGGGCCAUUGGAACCGGCAAGGUUCAUGAUGGUCUGAGGAAGUGGCUCCAAGCUAAUGUUGGUCCUGCAGUUGCUGAAUCUACCAGGAUUAUCUAUGGAGGCUCUGUAAAUGGGGCAAACUGCAAAGAGCUUGCGGCUCAACCUGAUCUUGAUGGGUUCCUUGUUGGCGGCGCUUCACUGAAGCCUGAGUUUGUGGACAUCAUCAAGUCUGCCACCGUGAAGUCUGCUUCUGCUUAG